GACGAACGCUGGCGGCGUGCUUAACACAUGCAAGUCGAACGGAAAGGCCCUGCUUUUGUGGGGUGCUCGAGUGGCGAACGGGUGAGUAACACGUGAGUAACCUGCCCUUGACUUUGGGAUAACUUCAGGAAACUGGGGCUAAUACCGGAUAGGAGCUCCUGCUGCAUGGUGGGGGUUGGAAAGUUUCGGCGGUUGGGGAUGGACUCGCGGCUUAUCAGCUUGUUGGUGGGGUAGUGGCUUACCAAGGCUUUGACGGGUAGCCGGCCUGAGAGGGUGACCGGCCACAUUGGGACUGAGGUACGGCCCAGACUCCUACGGGAGGCAGCAGUGGGGAAUAUUGCACAAUGGGCGGAAGCCUGAUGCGACAACGCCGCGUGCGGGAUGACGGCCUUCGGGUUGUAAACCGCUUUCGCCUGUGACGAAGCGUGAGUGACGGUAAUGGGUAAAGAAGCACCGGCUAACUACGUG
rnacentral:rRNA from 1 species